CUAGAACAGGGGACAACUUGGGCGAGCAUGGUGCGAAGGCAGGAGGGGGCAUCGAUGGGAAAUUCAAAAGGUGACGGAGAGCGAGAUUUCUCUGCUCCAAGAGAAGUUCUUCACCAAAGUGGCGGCGCUCUCGGGUGAGGAAAUAAAUGAGGCCUUUUGGACGAUGGAGGUUGCCGCUAAAGUUGGGGACACAAUGCCGCUACGCACUCUGCUUUGUGGUUGAGGUUGCCGAACCUGGUGGUCGAGUAUUGCGAUGGAAAUAAAAGAUUCAUCGCAUUGCUUUGUCGGCAGGGGACUCCUGCAGCCUAGUAUCAUGGUGAAGGAAGGAUAUGGUUGGGCUUGUGUUCAAGUGGACAUCAACAAAUCGCUGCAGCCUAGUAUCAUGGUGAAGGAAGGAUAUGGUUGGGCUUGUGUUCAAGUGGACAUCAACAAAUCGCUGCAGCCUAGUAUCAUGGUGAAGGAAGGCUAUUCUUGGGCUUGUGUUCAAGUGGACAUCAACAAAUCGCUGCAGCCUAGUAUCAUGGUGAAGGAAGGCUAUUCUUGGGCUUGUGUUCAAGUGGACAUCUACAAAUCGCUGCAGCCUAGUAUCAUGGUGAAGGAAGGCUAUUCUUGGGCUUGUGUUCAAGUGGACAUCAACAAAUCGCUGCAGCCUAGUAUCAUGGUGAAGGAAGGCUAUUUUUGGGCUUGUGCUCAAGUGGACAUCAACAAAUCGCUGCAGCCUAGUAUCAUGGUGAAGGAAGGCUAUUCUUGGGCUUGUGCUCAAGUGGACAUCAACAAAUCGCUGCAGCCUAGUAUCAUGGUGAAGGAAGGCUAUUCUUGGGCUUGUGCUCAAGUGGACAUCAACAAAUCGCUGCAGCCUAGUAUCAUGGUGAGAGCGAAGGGCAGAUCUUCUAGGAAAGCACUCUCUGCAGUCUGGUCUGGUCCGGUCUUAGGGUGAAAGCAAAGCGCAAAUCAUCCUGGAAAGCAUUCUCAUAUGAGAACCUGCCAGAACUGGAGGGACGCUUUUGUAAAUUAUCGUUAUCCGGGGCUCGCAGGGAGUUUUAUGCUCCAAGGGAAAGGACGGUGUCUAAAACAUAAAAAAGGGCACCACGGAUUCGGGAUUCGUGCCUCCCUCCGUGUCGCCGCUUCGCUUCGUAAUAAGGCGGCAGGCAGUCCGGCACCCGUCCAGCCGCUGAGAGACAGAGAGAGAGAGAGAGAGAGAGAGAGAGAGAGGCAGGAAGAGAGGAGAGUGGAAUCAUCGGAGAAGGAAAUCAAUUGAUCGACCGAGAUCAAGAUCACGGAAUGGAAGGUUGGGACCCGAGCACGCAGUCGGCUUUGACGCAGAUCCCGCUGCUGUCGACGCGGGCGGGGCCGCGGGAUGGGGCGGCGUGGACGCAGCGGCUGAAGGAGGAGUACCGGGCGCUGAUCGCGUACACGAGCAUGAACAAGGCCGGAGACAACGACUGGUUCCGCAUCGCCGCCGCCAACCCGGAGGGCACCCGCUGGGAGGGCUCCUGCUGGUACGUUCACAACCUCCGCCGCUACGAGUUCACCCUCCAGUUCGACAUCCCCGUCACCUAUCCCGCCACCGCCCCGGAGAUCGAGCUUCCCCAGAUCGACGGCAAGACCCACAAGAUGUACAGGGGAGGGAAGAUCUGCCUCACCGUCCACUUCAAACCCCUCUGGGCCAAGAACUGUCCCAGGUUUGGAAUUGCACAUGCCCUUUGCUUGGGCCUCGCACCAUGGCUUGCAGCUGAGGUGCCCAUUCUGGUGGACUCUGGCAUGGUGAGGCACAAAGACGACGAGGCAUCAUCUACCGAAUAUUAAGUAUGCUUCUUGGUUUUGGUGAUAAUAAACUUCUACCAGGGAAAAAUAGUAACUCGACGCAUUAGCUGAUAUAUAUAUUAUGAGUUAAUUGACAAGUACUGCAUAAUAUAUAUCAUGAGUUGAGAUUGUUAUAUUGAUUAUUCUGUGCCCUCCCUUUUCAAACAGAAUUGUUCUAUAAAUGUUUAACUGAUGUAGCCAUCCUUUCUGUCUUAUGUCCUGCCGAAAUUUAAUUUGAAUAGUCAAAUAUUUGUUUAUCCAAUGUCAAUAUACAGAAUGUUUAAACUUGAAUCAGAGAUAUACACAUCAUUGGGGGCAAAAGCAUGUGUAUUGAGGUGGGUUUUUUUUUUGUUUUUGUUUUUGUUUGAAGGGGGGGUUGGGUAGAUAGAGAUAGAGGGAGAGGAUUCAUUUCCUUGUAGACUAUAGAAGCUUACAGUAAAUCUGAAUCACAAAAUAACUGUCUUUCUAUUCCUUUCUUUUUCUUAGAGAUAGAGCCGUGACUGUCAUAUCUUUUCAGCACAUAAAGUAUAUGAUGUUAUAAUAUCUCAUAGUUUAUCAUUUAAUUUAUGAAUACAUUGUGGUUUCAAGUGAAGUUUAGGAUGACCAUGGGCAGCCCAAACCUUUCCCACUAUCAGACUAGAUUUCUGAGUCCCAUAAUACAAAUCACUGGGGAACUUCCAUAUUGUGAAUAACUAUGGUAAUGAUUAAAUAUAAGGGGAUAAAGAACACUAAGGAAUUGGAUGAUCAAUUGGAUAAUAAGAAAACACCUAAAUUAGGAAUUUACGAGUAGAUCCCAUGUGGUUGCAGCCUGGCACCUUCCUUGAUUGUAUGUGUAUAUUAAAUCCCAUUCUUCUUAGCCAAAAUGUGCUUAGGGAUUUUUUUUAUCGGAUAUAGUCUUGGAUAGGGUAAAUGGAAACCAAUUACCAAUCUAUAAAAAAAUAAAUAAUAUGUUGAUUUUUGGUACAGCAGAUUUAACGCAAUCUAACUAUGGAAAUUAAAACCUUAUACUAGCUAAAGUAAAUUGCAAGGUUGGAUGUUAAUAAUGUAUUCCUCAUGCCAAGUGGAUGGAGGUGAAGGUUAGGAAAGACAAUGUGUGGAAUGUAGAGGAGCCAAAAGGUUCCACUUGUAGAGGUGAAUGUUUUGAACCAGAGAUGCUCUAACAAUAUAUAACAUUGAAGAAAGGAAAAUUUUGAGGGAGAUUGAAAAGCUUAAAAAAAAGCCAGGAAGGACAACCCUAAUAUUACUUGGAUGGAGGUUUUGAUAUUUCUGUUUUUGUUUAAUACGGUUUGAAAAGUUAUUUUAGAUAGAAAGAACCCUAUAAUUUUUGUGGAGUAUAAUUGGAGGAGAAUGGUAAUUUUGUCUUGGCUUAAUCUGGGUUAGAUAUGAAACUUGCAAUUCUGAUUGUUUAUCCUAGACCAGAUUUGUAAAUAAAAUGAUGCGGCCAUGUAAGUUUCAACUUAGAUUCUGCUCUUUUGUUGCUUUUCUUGAUCUAGGCAUCUCCAAUACUGCUUAGUCCCAGAUGAAGGUAAUGCCACCAAGGUCUUUGAUCAAUUGAUCCUAUUCCACUUUCUCACAUGAGUGUCAAGUUGGUUCUUUUUUUGUUUCUGGAAUGUGUGGAGAUGAGGAGGUAAAGAUGAAUAUAUAUAAGUGGAACUAUGUCAUCUCUUUUAGAAUUACAUGUUUUUUUUCCAUAAUCUUAGUAGUAGUAGAUCUACAAGUUUAGAACAGUGCAUGGUAGGUAGUGUGGAAGUACAAAUUUUGCUGUUAUUUGUUUUGUUGGUAUGAUGGUCUCCUUGUAGAUUUCUUGUUCUAUUAGUUCGAGGGUAUGCUUGGAAUAAUGGUUUGAUAUUCCGCGGUCAAGAAUACCGAUUUCCAGAAAGGAUUUGGCAAUCUUGAACUGAGGAUAUGACAACCUUAUCGUGGGUUAUGCAGUCAGUUGGGUAAGUUAUUUUCUUUUGUUUAUUUAACAGCUGCUAACAGAAGAAAAGUAACAGCAUGCUGUGUUUUUUAGUUGUUUUUAAUAUUUUUUGCUCAUUUUUAGAUGAUCACCGUGCUAAGUGCGUUAUAGUUUUCCAAUGAACCACGGAAGUUCUCUGUUUACAACUUCAUAUAUUUAGGUCCAAGCACUUAAAAACCUAUAGCUUGUGGGUAGUUGCAACCAUUUAAUGGAAAAAUCCCUCUUUUAGAUUUUCUUAUCGUUCUUAUUUUAUUGCCCUGAAUUUCCACCAUCUCCAAUUUCAUUUAUGCAAUGUUAAAAUGGAGUCUGGAAGCAAGUGCAUCUAAACUCAUUUUUUAUGGUUUGUAGCACCUAAAAUUUUGCAUUUCUUUUUGGUGCCAGUAGUUUACAAGAAUUAGGUUCUACAUCUAAUAGAACCAAUCUUAUUGACAAACCUACCAUCUUGUAUGACUAAUCGAACUAGUCUUACCAUACUUGUUAAAUAUAAAUCAUGUAGACUUUGUGUAAGUUGUAUGCUCUCGAGUAAUAGUAAAUCAACAUAAUGUGGCUUCAUAUUGGUUGGCUUGAUAUUUUCAAUAUACUUAGCGGGGCCCAUCUCAAAGCAUCAAGGUUGGAUUUGUGUAGGUGGAUGAAUUAUGGAGUUUGGAGCACUUUGAGAUCUGUGUGGUGGGUGAGCAACGGUGGACUUGUGCAAAGGUGAAUCUUUGUUUCGCACAAAAUUUGCAACCCUAAUCCCUUGGCGUCUCGUGUAAAACAAAUGUUUAUCCCCUAUUUUGCUGCGGUUAAAAUUGGAAGAAAUGUUACUCCCAAGAUCUGCAGGACACCUGGAUCUGCACCCCCUGAAACAUUUAGAUGGAGAUGCACCGAGCCAUUCAAGGGUGAAACGAGCGAUAAAGCUUGUAAGUGCUCAGAGCGUAGCAGUGGCACUAGAGUGCUAGGAUUGAAACUGCGAGGCCGCAGAAGCAUGAAGAACAAUGAGUUAGCAGUUGAGAUGUACUGAUCUUGUAUAAGCAAAGCAUCAUGCUGCUGUCGGAUUCAUGAUAGAUUCUAGAUGUUAUAAUUUUGGUUAAGAUUUUGGAAUUUUCAGAGAUGCAUCCUGAUGAUAGAUGAUAGACGACAGAUAACAGAGGACGACCAAGAAGGCACAAAUUACAAGAACAGCCAUCGAUCCCUUCGUGGAGAGGGGGUACCUUCACCAUGACGACUGCAUUGGUAUCUCAUGCUUUUCGUUUGUGGCAUAUGAGCCAUGUUAGCUCUAACAAGUGACCUCGGAAAAAUCAUCUCAAGAACAUGUACUGUAUGGUAAUUUCAAGUAAAUCAGCAGGCAAAUGGCUCGAACAUCGCUGUCAUGGUUU